UGGGGAAUCUUCCGCAAUGGACGAAAGUCUGACGGAGCAACGCCGCGUGAGUGAAGAAGGUUUUCGGAUCGUAAAACUCUGUCUUUUGGGGCGAACGUGAGUAUGGUGAACAAUCAUAGUCAGUGACGGUACCAAAGGAGGAAGCCACGGCUAACUACGUGCCAGCAGCCGCGGUAAUACGUAGGUGGCAAGCGUUGUCCGGAAUUAUUGGGCGUAAAGAGCGCGUAGGCGGGAUAGUCAGUCUGUUGUAAAAGUGCGGGGCUCAACCCCGUGAUGGCAAUGGAAACAGCUAUUCUUGAGUGCAGGAGAGGAAAGUGGAAUUCCCAGUGUAGCGGUGAAAUGCGUAGAUAUUGGGAGGAACACCAGUGGCGAAGGCGACUUUCUGGACUGUGUCUGACGCUGAGGCGCGAAAGCCAGGGGGAGCGAACGGGAUUAGAUACCCCGGUAGUCCUGGCCGUAAACGAUGGGUACUAGGUGUGGGAGGUAUCGACCCCUUCCGUGCCGGAGUUAACGCAAUAAGUACCCCGCCUGGGGAGUACGGUCGCAAGACUGAAACUCAAAGGAAUUGAC
rnacentral:rRNA from 1 species